GUACACUCCUGCGGGAGGCAGCAGUGGGGAAUAUUGCACAAUGGGCGCAAGCCUGAUGCAGCCAUGCCGCGUGUAUGAAGAAGGCCUUCGGGUUGUAAAGUACUUUCAGCGGGGAGGAAGGCGAUAAGGUUAAUAACCUUGUUGAUUGACGUUACCCGCAGAAGAAGCACCGGCUAACUCCGUGCCAGCAGCCGCGGUAAUACGGAGGGUGCAAGCGUUAAUCGGAAUUACUGGGCGUAAAGCGCACGCAGGCGGUCUGUCAAGUCGGAUGUGAAAUCCCCGGGCUCAACCUGGGAACUGCAUUCGAAACUGGCAGGCUAGAGUCUUGUAGAGGGGGGUAGAAUUCCAGGUGUAGCGGUGAAAUGCGUAGAGAUCUGGAGGAAUACCGGUGGCGAAGGCGGCCCCCUGGACAAAGACUGACGCUCAGGUGCGAAAGCGUGGGGAGCAAACAGGAUUAGAAACCCGUGUAGUCCCA
rnacentral:rRNA from 1 species